rnacentral:lncRNA from 1 species
GCCAGUGUUCCCUUUAGGACUCUGGAUGGCAUAGAGGAAAGCAUCCCAGACUGAGGAGAGGUUCCAGCAGCUGCAAAAUGUUGGGGUAGCAAAAAGGCCCAGCUCAGUAGUGGAGGGAAGAUGCAUUACCUCAGAGGGAGUCCAAGAGGAUGCAUUGCUGCUACUUAAGACAGAUGUCAUAUGCCAACACAGUAUUCAGCAAACAUUAAAACUGACAACCAGAAAUGCUCUUUGCUAGAACUCCCAGGGGCAAGAUGGCAAUGCUGACAGAAAUGAUACUUCCGCCCCGUUGCCUCCCGCUGCCUACUCGAGCACACAUUCUGUCAUCUUCCUGCUUCCUGGAAAUUGAAAUCAUUUGAGGCCCUGUGGGUUCAGGCGCCAUCCUGCAAACUAGCUCUCUCUACAAUGUGUCUGAGAGAAUUCAGGAUUGAGACUCAGGAGUCAGUAGAAGACCUACACCUUUGCUCCAAUUGUGUUUCUGCUCCUCUGCCUCAGAUGUCAUCAGAUGCUUACGCCAAGGGUAAGUUUUAAGUAUAAAUCUUACUCUUGUCCCUACAAGUUCCUACAACAGAAACUUCUACAAGUAGAAACUUGUAGAAGGAGGGAAGUGGUGGUCAGCAGAACAUUGUUGUUCAGUUGGUAUGAUCAAUUCAGAGAGCCAUGUGGCAAUAUCAAACCAAGAUGAACAUGCACAUACCCUCUAGCCAGUGAUUUCACUCUAGAUAAAGGGCUAGGGAAGCAUUCUCAUGUAUCACAAGAAGAUAUUUAUGAGAAAGUUUGUUGCAGCUUGGUAAUAGCAAAAAAUGGAAAUAAUCUAAAUGUCCAUCAACAGGAGGACAAAUUGUGCAUAUUUAUAAAAUAAAAUAUUAUUCAGCAAUACAAACUGAAGGAGCUAGAGGCCCCACACACUUCAUUUAUGGAAACGCUAUGUAUUUCAUGAAAACAAUGCUAUCUGUUUGAAUGAAUGUAUACAUAUGAAUGGAGCUGAAUAAAAAUGAGAGACACCAAAUUUAGGAAAAUGAUUAAUUCUGGGUAGAGACACCAAGAAAUAAAAUUGUAGAAAGGUACAAAAGGGCUUUAAUUAUAACGUUUUUCAUUUUUAGGCCACAUGUGGGAUAUACACAUAUAUAUACUCAUUACAUAAUUCUACAUACAUUUUCAUGUGCCUGAACCAUUUUGUUUCUACAUCUUCCAAAACCCCUAAGAGAUGCAAGUAGUAUCACCUAUUGGCCAUUUACAAAAAGAGAGAUAUCUUUUAGAACAAAAUGUAAGGACUCAUUUCUUUCUCCUGAGGAACUUUUGUAUUACCUCUUCAUUAAUAAGAUAAAUCAGUCACUAAUAAUGUUUCUUUUUUCUUUUGCUUGCUUGGAAGCUCAGAACCAAAUUUGAGCUCUUAUUAACCAAAACGGAUUUUUUAGAGCUCUACUCUUUCUACCUGAAAUUGAUUUUCUUUCAAAAUGUGCAUUCUUCCUGGUCAUGCAUUUGUUUAUUCUACUCUAUCAUGUUGUAAGCCUCUUCAUAUUCAUUGUGGAAUAAAAAUAGCUAUAAAUAAGAGUAUAAAAAUUAUUGUUUAUGUUCAUGUUUUCCUAAUUUACAUGGACAUACAACAUUUACACAGGACAGGCUUAUGUGUUGACCUUGUUUACCUUUGUAAACCUCUGUGUCUAUCAUAGUGUCUGGCACAUGGUAGGUAUUUCAUUAUUUGUUCAUCAAAUGAAUUAACAAACCCACAAAUUCAUGCUUAGACAGAUCUUGAUUUUUGCACAUUUUGGAGGUGUCCAAUUUGUCUUGUUAUAAAUAUAGCUUUAGUAAACAUCUUGAUGAAUACUGUUUUGGAUUAUUUCCUAAGGUUAUUUUUUCCAGGAGUAAAAUUACAUGAGUCAAAGGAUGUGAACAUUUAAUGGCUAUUGAAAUGUUUUUCCAAAUUGCUCUCCAAAAAGCUUUUAGCAUUUUCUACAGCUACGAGCAAUGUAUGAGGGCAUCAUUUCACCAUAACACUGUCUGUGCUUGUGCAGUAUUUUGUUCUGUUUUGCAAUUUAGUAGAUGUAAAAUUAUAGCUUGAAGCAGAGUUAAUAAUUUUUUAAAUGCAAUUUACCUAUCAUUUGUAUCAUCUAUUUUAAAUCACUAUCAUUUUUAUGUAACUUCAUGGGCUCUUGUGAAUUAACACAUUGGCCUUUCCAGAAGACUUCAUCAUAGAUUUUCAAUAUUUAAUGUAAUCCAGCAGAGAAAAAUAAUCCAUGGAAAUUAUUGGGACUUCUUAAUUCCCAAUAAUUGCCUUUAUGACUUACAUGGUCGCUAAACUUCUCUGGGCUUUGAAUUCCUCACCUAUAAACUGGAGGUAAGAAUAUGUACAUUGGAUGCCUGUUAUAAAGAUUACAAAUCAUGUAUAUAGAAUACCUACCAACAUGUGACGCAUAGGAGGUGCCCAGUAAAUGAUAGCUAUUAUUGUUAUUUUAAUUAUUACUUAUAAAAUUAGUUUUUGUUUAUUUGUUUGUUUGUUUGUUUUGAGACGGAGUUUCGCUCUGUUGCCCAGGCUGGAGUGCAGUGGCUGCACCUCGGCUCACUGCAAGCUCUGCCUCCCGGGUUCACGCC